rnacentral:lncRNA from 1 species
GGGGUUUGAAGCAUACAUAUGUAUUUCAAAAACUUAAUUUUCUAAACACUGCAGUGGAGAAUAAGAUUAAAAUAAUUUUAAUCUGAAUUUUACAUGCAUAAAAAUAUAAAAUCACAUGGAUCUAUUUCAUAUACUGAAUUGAUAUAUGCUAAAAUUUAAAUAAUGAUCAAAUCACAUAUCUUUGUCGCAAUCUCUUUCUUCAAAGCU